rnacentral:ncRNA from 1 species
CGCGUCACAAUAGUAAUUCAACCUAGUACGAGAGGAACCGUUUAUUCGUACAAUUGGUCAUCGCGCUUGGUCGAAAAGCCAGUGGCGCGAAGCUACCGUGCGCUGGAUUAUGACUGAACGCCUCUAAGUCAGAAUUCGGGCUAGAAGCGACGCACGCGCCCGUCACCCGAUUGCCGACCCGCAGUAGGGGCCUUUGGCCCCCAAGGGCACGUGUCGUAGGUGCAGCGACCGCGGCGGACAAGUCACGGGCGCCUCCUCAGAGCGUAAUUCCCACGAGGGCACGUGUCGUAGGUGCAGCGACCGCGGUGGACAAGUCGUGGGUGCCUCCUUGGAGCGUAAUUCCCACAGAGCGGCGGUUAGAAUCCUUCGCAGAUGACUUAAAUACGCGACGGCGUAUUGUAAGUGGCAGAGUGGCCUUGCUGCCACGAUCCACUGAGAUUCAGCCCUUUGUCGCUUUGAUUC